rnacentral:rRNA from 1 species
CCUACGGGCGGCAGCAGUGAGGAAUAUUGGUCAAUGGACGAGAGUCUGAACCAGCCAAGUAGCGUGAAGGAUGACUGCCCUAUGGGUUGUAAACUUCUUUUAUAUGGGAAUAAAAUCUUCCACGUGUGGCAUUUUGUAUGUACCAUAUGAAUAAGGAUCGUCUAACUCCGUGCCAGCAGCCGCGGUAAUACGGAGGAUCCGAGCGUUAUCCGGAUUUAUUGGGUUUAAAGGGGGCGUAGGGGGAUGGUUAAGUCAGUUGUGAAAGUUUGCGGCUCAACCGUAACAUUGCAGUUGAAACGGGCAGUCUUGAGUACAGUAGAGGUGGGCGGAAUUCGUGGUGUAGCGGUGAAAUGCUUAGAUAUCACGAAGAACUCCGAUUGCGAAGGCAGCUCACUGGACUGCAACUGACACUGAGGCUCGAAAGUGUGGGUAUCAAACAGGAUUAGAUACCCGGGUAGUC